rnacentral:pre_miRNA from 1 species
CAGUUACUCCCUCCGUUCCAAAAUAGAUGACUCAAAUUUGAACUAAUUUUAGUGCAAAAUUAGUACAAACUUGGGUCAUCUAUUUUGGAACGGAGGGAGUAUCUG